rnacentral:rRNA from 1 species
CCUACGGGUGGCUGCAGUGGGGAAUAUUGGACAAUGGGGGCAACCCUGAUCCAGCCAUGCCGCGUGUGUGAAGAAGGCCCUCGGGUUGUAAAGCACUUUCAGUGAGGAAGAACGCCUGGUGGUUAAUACCCAUCAGGAAAGACAUCACUCACAGAAGAAGCACCGGCUAACUCCGUGCCAGCAGCCGCGGUAAUACGGAGGGUGCGAGCGUUAAUCGGAAUUACUGGGCGUAAAGCGCGCGUAGGUGGCUUGAUAAGCCGGUUGUGAAAGCCCCGGGCUCAACCUGGGAACGGCAUCCGGAACUGUCAAGCUAGAGUGCAGGAGAGGAGGGUAGAAUUCCCGGUGUAGCGGUGAAAUGCGUAGAGAUCGGGAGGAAUACCAGUGGCGAAGGCGGCCUUCUGGACUGACACUGACACUGAGGUGCGAAAGCGUGGGUAGCAAACAGGAUUAGAUACCCCUGUAGUC